AAUGGAGAGUUUGAUCCUGGCUCAGGACGAACGCUUGCGGCGUGCCUAAGAAAUGCAAGUCGAGCGAGGGUUCACGCUGUCCAAAGCUUCGGCAGCGGACUUGUGGACCCUAGCGGCGAACGGUCGCGUAACACGUAAGCAACCUGCCCUGAAGUGGGGGAUAGCCCGCCGAAAGGCGGAGUAAUACCGCAUGUGGAUGCGAUUCCGCAUGGAUUCGCAUCUAAAGCAGCGAUGCGCUUCAGGAUGGGCUUGCGGCCUAUCAGCUUGUUGGUAGGGUAACGGCCUACCAAGGCUACGACGGGUAGCUGGUCUGAGAGGAUGGUCAGCCGGAUUGGGACUGAGACACGGCCCAGACUCCUACGGGGGGCAGCAAUUAGGAAUCUUGCGCAAUGGGGGAAACCCUGACGCAGCGACGCCGCGUGAGCGAUGAAGUCCUUCGGGAUGUAAAGCUCUGUCCUGUGGGGAAGAAGGAAGUGACGGUACCCACAGAGAAAGCCCCGGCUAACUACGUGCCAGCAGCCGCGGUAAUACGUAGGGGGCGAGCGUUGUCCGAAUUUACUGGGCGUAAAGCGCGUGUAGGCGGCUCUUUAAGUCAGAUGUGAAAUCCUGCAGCUCAACUGCAGAACUGCAUCUGAAACUGAAGGGCUGGAGUCUGGGAGAGGAGAGUGGAAUUCCUGGUGUAGCGGUGGAAUGCGUAGAUAUCAGGAGGAACACCCGUGGCGAAGGCGGCUCUCUGGCCCAGUACUGACGCUGAGACGCGAAAGCUAGGGGAGCGAACGGGAUUAGAUACCCCGGUAGUCCUAGCCGUAAACGAUGGAUACUAGGUGUUAGUGGUAUCGACCCCACUAGUGCCGUAGCUAACGCAUUAAGUAUCCCGCCUGGGGAGUACGGCCGCAAGGUUGAAACUCAAAGGAAUUGACGGGGCCCCGCACAAGCGGUGGAGCAUGUGGUUUAAUUCGUCACUAACCGAAGAACCUUACCAGGGCUUGACAUCCGCUGAAAGUCCACGAAAGUGGUACCCUCCCUAGCAAUAGGGACAGCGAGACAGGUGUUGCAUGGCUGUCGUCAGCUCGUGUCGUGAGAUGUUGGGUUAAGUCCCGCAACGAGCGCAACCCUCAUCGGAUGUUGCCAGCGUAAAGUCGGGAACUCUUCCGAAACUGCCCGUGUAAGCGGGAGGAAGGUGGGGAUGACGUCAAGUCGGCAUGGCCCUUACGCCCUGGGCUACACACAUGCUACAAUGGCCGUUAACAAAGGGACGCAAUACCGCGAGGUGGAGCUAAUCCCAAAAAUACGGCCUCAGUUGGGAUCGAAGUCUGCAACUCGACUUCGUGAACGCGGAAUCGCUAGUAACCGCAGGUCAGCUAAACUGCGGUGAAUACGUUCCCGGGGCUUGUACACACCGCCCGUCAAGUCACCUGAGUCUGCUGCACCCGAAGUCAGUGGCCCAACCCGCAAGGGAGGGAGCUGCCGAAGGUGUGGCCGGUGAGGGGGACUAAGUCGUAACAAGGUAGCCGUAUCGGAAGGUGCGGCUGGAUCACCUCCUUUCU
rnacentral:rRNA from 1 species